CCUACGGGUUGCACCAGUGGGGAAUAUUGCACAAUGGGCGCAAGCCUGAUGCAGCCAUGCCGCGUGUGUGAAGAAGGCCUUCGGGUUGUAAAGCACUUUCAGCGGGGAGGAAGGCGUUAAGGUUAAUAACCUUGGCGAUUGACGUUACCCGCAGAAGAAGCACCGGCUAACUCCGUGCCAGCAGCCGCGGUAAUACGGAGGGUGCAAGCGUUAAUCGGAAUUACUGGGCGUAAAGCGCACGCAGGCGGUCUGUCAAGUCGGAUGUGAAAUCCCCGGGCUCAACCUGGGAACUGCAUUCGAAACUGGCAGGCUAGAGUCUUGUAGAGGGGGGUAGAAUUCCAGGUGUAGCGGUGAAAUGCGUAGAG
rnacentral:rRNA from 1 species